AGAGUUUGAUCAUGGCUCAGGACGAACGCUGGCGGCGUGCCUAAUACAUGCAAGUAGAACGCUGAAGAGAGGAGCUUGCUCUUCUUGGAUGAGUUGCGAACGGGUGAGUAACGCGUAGGUAACCUGCCUUGUAGCGGGGGAUAACUAUUGGAAACGAUAGCUAAUACCGCAUAACAAUGGAUGACACAUGUCAUUUAUUUGAAAGGGGCAAUUGCUCCACUACAAGAUGGACCUGCGUUGUAUUAGCUAGUAGGUGAGGUAACGGCUCACCUAGGCGACGAUACAUAGCCGACCUGAGAGGGUGAUCGGCCACACUGGGACUGAGACACGGCCCAGACUCCUACGGGAGGCAGCAGUAGGGAAUCUUCGGCAAUGGGGGCAACCCUGACCGAGCAACGCCGCGUGAGUGAAGAAGGUUUUCGGAUCGUAAAGCUCUGUUGUAAGUCAAGAACGAGUGUGAGAGUGGAAAGUUCACACUGUGACGGUAGCUUACCAGAAAGGGACGGCUAACUACGUGCCAGCAGCCGCGGUAAUACGUAGGUCCCGAGCGUUGUCCGGAUUUAUUGGGCGUAAAGCGAGCGCAGGCGGUUUGAUAAGUCUGAAGUUAAAGGCUGUGGCUCAACCAUAGUUCGCUUUGGAAACUGUCAAACUUGAGUGCAGAAGGGGAGAGUGGAAUUCCAUGUGUAGCGGUGAAAUGCGUAGAUAUAUGGAGGAACACCGGUGGCAAAAGCGGCUCUCUGGUCUGUAACUGACGCUGAGGCUCGAAAGCGUGGGGAGCGAACAGGAUUAGAUACCCUGGUAGUCCACGCCGUAAACGAUGAGUGCUAGGUGUUGGAUCCUUUCCGGGAUUCAGUGCCGCAGCUAACGCAUUAAGCACUCCGCCUGGGGAGUACGACCGCAAGGUUGAAACUCAAAGGAAUUGACGGGGGCCCGCACAAGCGGUGGAGCAUGUGGUUUAAUUCGAAGCAACGCGAAGAACCUUACCAGGUCUUGACAUCCCGAUGCUAUUUCUAGAGAUAGAAAGUUACUUCGGUACAUCGGUGACAGGUGGUGCAUGGUUGUCGUCAGCUCGUGUCGUGAGAUGUUGGGUUAAGUCCCGCAACGAGCGCAACCCCUAUUGUUAGUUGCCAUCAUUCAGUUGGGCACUCUAGCGAGACUGCCGGUAAUAAACCGGAGGAAGGUGGGGAUGACGUCAAAUCAUCAUGCCCCUUAUGACCUGGGCUACACACGUGCUACAAUGGUUGGUACAACGAGUUGCGAGUCGGUGACGGCAAGCUAAUCUCUUAAAGCCAAUCUCAGUUCGGAUUGUAGGCUGCAACUCGCCUACAUGAAGUCGGAAUCGCUAGUAAUCGCGGAUCAGCACGCCGCGGUGAAUACGUUCCCGGGCCUUGUACACACCGCCCGUCACACCACGAGAGUUUGUAACACCCGAAGUCGGUGAGGUAACCUUUUGGAGCCAGCCGCCUAAGGUGGGAUAGAUGAUUGGGGUGAAGUCGUAACAAGGUA
rnacentral:rRNA from 1 species